UGAUUCCUGAGUUCUUGGGUUGGGACUGCCCCCUUCCACCAAAUUCAUUCUUACUGUCAGAGUCCAUUCUGGAAUGGCACUGGUCCCUUGACUUUAGACCCUGACCUGUCUGAGGACAUCCUGAGCCUGUCUCCAGGCAUAGGGGUUGCUCUGUGAUGAUAUGUCCUCUGUGUGGGUUGAAGGGCCACACCUUCAGGGGGUCUUUCUAUCCUAGGCACCACCUGUAAUCUACUAUGUCCCUGACUUCAUCUCCAAAGAAGAGGAGGAGUAUUUGCUUCGACAGGUUUUUAAUGCCCCAAAGCCAAAGUGGACCCAGCUCUCUGGGAGAAAGUUACAGAACUGGGGGGGGCCCUCAGGACCCCAUUGCCUUCCCCAGGUGGGCUUCCUCAUCCCCGAGGGAUGGUUCCUGAGCGGCUGCCCCCAUGGCUCCAGCGCUACGUGGACAAAGUGUCAAACCUCAGCCUCUUUGGAGGCCUCCCAGCUAACCAUGUCCUCGUGAACCAGUAUCUGCCUGGGGAGGGCAUCAUGCACCAUCAGCCUGGGCUCCCACACCGUGCUGGACUUCUACGAGCCGCGGCGGCCAGAGGACGAUGACCCUACAGAACAGCCUCGGCCUCCGCCCCGGCCCACCACCUCGCUACUGCUGGAACCGCGCAGCCUGCUGGUGCUCCGCGGCCCCGCCUACACGCGUCUUCUCCAC
rnacentral:lncRNA from 1 species